rnacentral:rRNA from 1 species
UACGUAGGGAGCAAGCGUUGUUCGGAUUUACUGGGCGUAAAGGGCGCGUAGGCGGCAGAUCAAGUCAGCUGUGAAAUCUCCGAGCUUAACUCGGAACUGUCAGCUGAUACUGUUUUUGCUAGAGUGCGGAAGGGGCAAUCGGAAUUCUUGGUGUAGCGGUGAAAUUCGUAGAUAUCGAGUGGAACACCGGUGGCGAAGGCGGCCUCUGGACAAUGACUGACGCUGAAACGCGAAAGCGUGGGGAGCAAACAGG